CUGGUUGAUCCUGCCAGACCCGACUGCUAUCGGAUUGGGACUAAGCCAUGCGGGUCAACUCCGCAAGGGGUGGCGCACGGCUCAGUAACACGUAGUCAACCUACCCUGGGGACGGGGAUAACCUCGGGAAACUGAGGCUAAACCCCGAUGGGCCAUGGCUCCUGGAAUGGGCUAUGGCUGAAAUCUACAUGGCCCCAGGAUGGGACUGCGGCCGAUCAGGUUGUUGGUGGGGUAAUGGCCCACCAAGCCUAUAACCGGUGCGGGCUCUGAGAGGAGGAGCCCGGAGAUGGGCACUGAGACAAGGGCCCAGGUCCUAUGGGGCGCAGCAGGCGCGAAACCUCCGCAAUGGGCGAAAGCCCGACGGGGUCAGUCCGAGUGGUUCCCGCUGAGGGAACCUUUUGCCAGCUGUAAACAGGCUGGCGAAUAAGGGGUGGGCAAGUUUGGUGUCAGCCGCCGCGGUAAUACCAGCACCCCGAGUGGUCGGGACGAUUAUUGGGCCUAAAGCAUCCGUAGCCGGCCCAGUAAGUCCUCCGUUAAAUCCAACGGCUCAACCGUUGGGCUGCGGGGGAUACUGCUGGGCUAGGGGACGGGAGAGGCGAGGGGUAUUCCCGGGGUAGGGGUAAAAUCCACUGAUCCCGGGAGGACCACCAGUGGCGAAGGCGCCUCGCUAGAACGUGCCCGACGGUGAGGGAUGAAAGCUGGGGGAGCGAACCGGAUUAGAUACCCGGGUAGUCCCAGCCGUAAACGAUGUAGGCUCGGUGUUGGGCUGCCUCAGUGGCAGCCCAGUGCCGCAGGGAAGCCGUUAAGCCUACCGCCUGGGGAGUACGGCCGCAAGGCUGAAACUUAAAGGAAUUGGCGGGGGAGCACCAC
rnacentral:rRNA from 1 species